CCCUUAGAUGUUCUGGGCCGCACGCGCGCUACACUGUUCGACGCAGCGAGUCUUAACCUUGACCGAAAGGUUUGGGUAAUCUUCAGCAAAGUCGAACGUGAUGGGGAUCGAUCAUUGCAAUUAUUGAUCGUGAACGAGGAAUUCCUAGUAAGUGCAAGUCAUCAGCUUGCGCUGAUUACGUCCCUGCCCUUUGUACACACCGCCCGUCGCUACUACCGAUUGAAUGGUUUAGUGAGAUCUCUGGAUUGACGCUGGCUAGGGGGCGACCCUUGGCCAGGCUGUCGAGAAACUGCUCAAACUUGAUCAUUUAGAGGAAGUAAGAGUCGUAACA
rnacentral:rRNA from 1 species